rnacentral:rRNA from 1 species
UACGUAGGUGGCGAGCGUUAUCCGGAAUUAUUGGGCGUAAAGAGCGCGCAGGUGGUUGAUUAAGUCUGAUGUGAAAGCCCCCGGCUCAACUGGGGAGGGUCACGCGAUACUGAUCGACUGGAAGGCAGGAGAGGGUAGUGGAAUUCCCGGUGUAGUGGUGAAAUGCGUAGAUAUUGGGAGGAACACCAGUGGCGAAGGCGGCUCACUGGACUGGUACUGACGCUGAGGCGCGAAAGCGUGGGGAGCAAACGGG